rnacentral:rRNA from 1 species
CUUUCCGAACACGGAAGUUAAGCCCUCCAGCGCCGAUGGUACUGCCGGGGUAACCCGGCGGGAGAGUAGGUCGUUGCCGAGC